rnacentral:lncRNA from 10 species
AGAGGACGGCAGAUCAAGAGCAUCUCAUCCUCCGGCUGCUGAGUCAUCCUGCUCUGGCAGUUAUUUAAACAGAAGGCUCCAGGAGACAUACAAUCAACACUCCACUCAGACAAUGCCCAGACCUCCAGAAACCAUGUGUCAAGCUCGGAUUGCCUUAGACAGGUGCAAUUUAAGAACAGCUUUCAUCCUCUUUUCUCUCAUAUUGUCACACUAUGUGUUCUGACUUCUGGCUCCUUUCCUCACAAGAAGCUCACCCAGCUGGAACUCUUAUGGGACCUUGGCACCAGAGACCACAAAUUCCUCUUUGAAGUUUUCUAACAGCAACAAUGGUAUUUCUGACUUGGCUUUCUUGUAUUUCUCUCACGUUAACAAAAUUGGUUCAGCAUCUACCAUGGGCUACAUGCUGAGCUACAGAGUUUCGCUCUGUCGCCCAGGCUGGAGUGCAGUGGCGCGCGAUCUCGGUUCACUGCAAGCUCCACCUCCCGGGUUCACGCCAUUCUCCUGCCUCAGCCUCCUGAGUAGCUGGGACUACAGGCGCCCGCCACCACACCCAGGAAUCCAACUUGCUGUUUGCUAUCACAUGUGCUAUACAUGCUGUUGAUGAAACUGCUAAAGGGGCUGAAUGUGACUGACGUCUUUGGAAGGAUGAGACUUAGCGUGCCUGUACAGUUGUGUCCAAAUGCUGUCCUCAUCUCCCAAUGAAAAGAAGAGAUCAUUUGAGCAUCCACCUGCAAGCGAAGAGAAGAGGCUUUAGAAUGAAACCUUCCUUGCUGGCACCCUGAUCUUUCCAAUCUCCAGAACUGUGAGAAGUAUAUCUCUAUUGCUUAAGCCACACAGUCUGUGGUACUUUGUUAUGGCAGCCCAAGCUGAGUAAGACAAAUACUAUUUCAAGAAAGUGACUUAUUACUGGGUGCGGUGGCUCACACCUGUAAUCCUAGCACGUUGGGGGUUGGAGACAGGCAGAUACUUGAGAUCAGGAGUUCAAGACCAGCCUGGCCAACAUGGUGAAACCCCACCUCUACUAAAAAUACAAAAAAUUAGCUGGGGGUGGUGGUGUGUGCCUGUCCUAGCUACUUGGGAGGCUGAGGCAGGAGAAUUACUUGAACCCAGGAGGCAGAGGUUGCAGUGAGCUGAGAUCAUGUCACUGCACUCCAGCCUGGACAACAGAGCAAGACCCCAUCAAAAAAAAGAAAAAGAAAAAAAGAAAAUGACUUAGUGACUUAUCUCUUAUGAGCUGCUUGGGGAAGUUGAUGGGAGAUUGGUCACUAACUUCUAUCAACAGCUAAGCUCAUCAGCCUUAUAUCUGGACAGAACCAAAUUUCUGUCUCAGCUAAAUAAUGCAUUCCUGUAUGGCAAAGGGGCAAUAGUACAAUAGUAUAUCCUCUCUGCCCAGUGACUGCUAUGGUACUUUGUCAAGGAGCUCUCUCCGAGGAUGGGAGAAAAGCGUUCUUGCCUGGUUGUUUUGCAUCACCUACCACUUUUCUGGCCAACUGAUGAUUGUAGGGCAUUCCUUUUAUUUAGAUUUCCUUUAUUUCUUUCAUCUCUCCACUCAUAAUCAAAGAACAUUAAGUACUUGCUCAGGUGUUUUAGACUCUUGUCUAAGGAUCUUGCCCAAGGUCACUGUAUUAGUCUGUUUUCACACUCUAUAUAUAAAGAAAUACUUGAGACUGAGUAAUUUAUAAGAAAAAAAAGAGGUUUAAUUGACUCACAGUUUCACAUGGCUGGGUGGGGGGCCUCAGGAAACUUACAAUCAUGGCAGAAAGUGAAGGGGAAGCGAGGACCUUUUUCAGAAAGUGGAACGAAAGAGAAGAAUGAAGGAGGGGCUACCAAACACUUAUAAAACCAUCAGAUCUCAUGAGAACUCACUAUCACGAGAACAGCAUGGGGGAAACUGACUCCAUGGUCCAAUCCCCUCCCUCCCUCGAUACAUGGGGAUUACAGGUCCCUCCCUUGACACGUGGGGAUUACAAAUCGAGAUGAGAUUUGGGUGGGGACACAGAGCCAAACCAUAUCAGUCACUGAACCACUACGUUUGUGAUGUACAUUCCCAAAGCUUUUAUUAGUUCUAGGAUCUGGACAAAGUACCUGUACUACCUCUUUGUGAUCUGAUCAAUAGUUUAGUCAAGUUCAAUAAUACUGAUAACACAAUACAAGCUUCGUUUACUGAGAAAUUUUUUGCAUGGAAAUGUGCUAAACCUUUUAUAGGCAUCAUCUCAUUUAAUCCUGCCUGCUUUGCAAACAGGUGAAAUGGUGAUUAUAAUCUCCAUUAUAGGCUUAGAGAAGCUAAGUAUCAAGUCCAAGUUCACACCGUCAUAAGAUGAAUUUGGGUUUUUGAACUGAAGUCUGACUUGGUAAAUGCCAAGGCAAUAUCCAUAUGGAUAUGCUAAGAAUAAUGAAUCAGAAUCAGGCACAGUUUUUAAAACAUCAAAUGAUGUAUGUAAUUACUUAAAAUCUUAAAUUUUUAUGCAAUAAUUUGACUUUUUUUUUAAGGCUAGCGCAUUAAGUAUACCUCCCAUUACAACUAGUUCAAGUAUAUGAGAUUCCAUUUCUGGUCCAUAUUACUCAUUUUGCUUUCUUGGGCUCUGAUCCUCUCUCGUAUUUUCAUGUUUCCUAUUUGUAUUUGUUUGGGGCUUUUCUCUCCUUUACAAAAUUGGGUAGUCAUGCUUCUCCAGUAACCUUGGUGAGUCAGUUCAACCUCUAAUUACUUCAGUCUCCUUGCCUGCAAGAAAAGCAGUCAAACUACACGAACACUCUAUUGUUUUGCAUCAUUUCACACGUACACAGGGAUAAGGAGGGAAAUAAUUCUCCCAAUGAAGCAGAACCACCGGUAACAGCUGGCACAACUUCUAAAGACCCAGUCUGUCUUGAAAAACAGCCGCAAAUUGUCCCUAAAUAAUAAUUACCCCACCUGUAUCAGGACUAUCUCACUGACUAGCUGCACUUCAUGACACAAUACCUGCUAUUAACUCUCAGCAUGGAUAUAAACAUUGCCAUAAUAUUUUUUAAAACCAACAAUGUAUCAUUUGCACAUUAGGACAACAGAAUGUUAGUUAAGGCACAGAAAACACAAAGGCAUGGCUACCCUGUUCUUUGGUGACUCCAUAUCUAAUUAUUACCACACAUGUCUCCAGUCUUUAGACAAAUUUAGUUAUUAUAAGGGUGGUUGGACAAAUAGCAAAGAUUUGAUUUUCAUUAACAAAGGGCACAUCAGAACCGAGUUAAUCCUUCCCAGUUACCCAACAUUCAAAGCUUCUAGUGCAGUCACUUUCUAGUCAUUUUAGAACCCAGAGCAGUGUGACGAUUUGAUGCUUAAGUUUCAACACGUUUUAUUAAUCCAUUCUUCUUGUGCUUCAUUUAAAAUAUUGGAAACUAUAAAAAGAUCAGCGUGUUAAUCCUCUGCCAGGAAACGGGAAAAAAAAGUUAAAAACCUAACAACAACACGAAAAGAGCAAGAGCGCUGGAAUCUCAGCUUUGAGGAAACACAUGGGAUGAAAGCAUCCGCCCAAGCUCUAACCAUUUGUCACAUGGGACUCUUCCCCUCGGGGGUGAAUCCUGGAUGUCCCCAGGAUGGAGCGAGGAGGUCGUGCGUGCGGGCGAGUGUGUGACUGCAGGGGGCCUUGGCGGCGCGAGGAGGCGACGCCGCCCCCUCCCUCAGGCGCAGGGAGGGUCUUCCAGGAAGCGGCGGAUCUCUGCUGACUCCGCGGCUGCGGGCCCCGGGCUGCGGCCGCCCAGGCCGGCACGUAGCGCCGAGCGUGACUCAGCGCUGACUCAUCCGACUCGCUGCCAGUGGAUUUCCCCCGUCAGCUGCUCGCGCUACUCCUGUCGCCGGGAGCUCGCAGGACUUCGCAGAUACCGCUGCCUCCUUAGUCUUUCCUGAAUAGCAGAGCAGUCCUGUCGCUUUAAACAGAGCAAGGCAGCUUUCACUGCUUUUGAAUCCCGACCGAGCGGGGCACUGCCGUGCUUUGUUUUCUUUGCCUUUAAGAGUGCAAUAGUCCACUAAUCAAAUUCUUUCAUCAAAAGAGUGUUGGGACAAAUCCCUGACAUCGUCCUUCCACUGUGAUUUGGAGAUGACCUCCACCCAGGUUUCACUUCCGUUGUACCCAGCUCUCGUCUUAUUUUUGUCCCUCAUUUUGUGAAUUUAUCCUCUCACUACGCUUGAUAACUAACCUUGGCGCAAACCCACAACUGUGGUGACGCAAAUCAGGUUGGAACUUGGCAUCGUUGUGUGCGGGCAGUGAGGGACUUACUGUAAAAACUGGGGCCUUCAUAAAGGCGUUCUUAUUUGCAAUCCUACUUGCUGAUUAGAUACCGUGCUCAUUUUCUGUCUGCCACUCCCCUUUGAAAGUUCCUGAGACAGGCCGGGCGCGGUGGCUCACGCCUGUAAUCCCAUCACUCUGGGAGGCCGAGGCGGGCGGAUCACGAGGUCAGGAGAUCGAGACCGUCCUGGCUAACACGGUGAAACACCGCCUCUAUUAAAAAA